rnacentral:rRNA from 1 species
UUAAAUUGAAGAGUUUGAUCAUGGCUCAGAUUGAACGCUGGCGGCAGGCCUAACACAUGCAAGUCGAACGGUAACAGGAAGCAGCUUGCUGCUUCGCUGACGAGUGGCGGACGGGUGAGUAAUGUCUGGGAAACUGCCUGAUGGAGGGGGAUAACUACUGGAAACGGUAGCUAAUACCGCAUAAUGUCGCAAGACCAAAGAGGGGGACCUUCUGGCCUCUUGCCAUCGGAUGUGCCCAGAUGGGAUUAGCUUGUUGGUGGGGUAACGGCUCACCAAGGCGACGAUCCCUAGCUGGUCUGAGAGGAUGACCAGCCACACUGGAACUGAGACACGGUCCAGACUCCUACGGGAGGCAGCAGUGGGGAAUAUUGCACAAUGGGCGCAAGCCUGAUGCAGCCAUGCCGCGUGUAUGAAGAAGGCCUUCGGGUUGUAAAGUACUUUCAGCGGGGAGGAAGGGAGUAAAGUUAAUACCUUUGCUCAUUGACGUUACCCGCAGAAGAAGCACCGGCUAACUCCGUGCCAGCAGCCGCGGUAAUACGGAGGG